rnacentral:rRNA from 1 species
GACGAACGCUGGCGGCGUGCCUAAUACAUGCAAGUAGAACGCUGAAGAGAGGAGCUUGCUCUUCUUGGAUGAGUUGCGAACGGGUGAGUAACGCGUAGGUAACCUGCCUGGUAGCGGGGGAUAACUAUUGGAAACGAUAGCUAAUACCGCAUAAAAUGGAUUAUCGCAUGAUAAUCCAUUGAAAGGUGCAAAUGCAUCACUACCAGAUGGACCUGCGUUGUAUUAGCUAGUUGGUGGGGUAACGGCUCACCAAGGCGACGAUACAUAGCCGACCUGAGAGGGUGAUCGGCCACAAUGGGACUGGGACAAGGCCCAGACUCCUACGGGAGGCAGCAGUAGGGAAUCUUCGGCAAUGGACGGAAGUCUGACCGAGCAACGCCGCGUGAGUGAAGAAGGUUUUCGGAUCGUAAAGCUCUGUUGUAAGAGAAGAACGAGUGUGAGAGUGGAAAGUUCACACUGUGACGGUAUCUUACCAGAAAGGGACGGCUAACUACGUG